rnacentral:rRNA from 1 species
UACAGAGGGGGCAAGCGUUGUUCGGAAUUACUGGGCGUAAAGGGCGCGUAGGCGGCCUGUUAAGUCGAACGUGAAAUCCCCGGGCUCAACCCGGGAACUGCGUCCGAUACUGGCAGGCUUGAAUCCGGGAGAGGGAUGCGGAAUUCCAGGUGUAGCGGUGAAAUGCGUAGAUAUCUGGAGGAACACCGGUGGCGAAGGCGGCAUCCUGGCCUGUUCUUGACGCUGAGGCGCGAAAGCUAGGGGAGCAAACGGG